rnacentral:lncRNA from 1 species
AGCUCCCACAGAUGCUUCAGCAGCUCCUGCUCCAACUCAAAAAACUGAUGCUGUAACCUCAACUGAACCUCUCCCAGCAGUCAACUCAGUUCCCAAAGCUGAAGUCAAGGAAGAGUCACCUCCUGUGACACCGAGACCUCUUUCACCUUACCCAUAUGUAACUCUCGAUCCUUUCACAUGCCUUGCUCUUUUAUUCUUUGUUUCUUCCAUUAUUCAUCAUGACUGCUCUUUCCACAUCGUUUCUUAGGAACCAUAUUAUCAAGAAACUAAAAUUGACAUGUAGACCAUAAUUGCUCAGAAGAUGUAAAGUUAAUUCUUGGAAUGAAAGAAAGAGUACAUCUCACACCGAACAUCUUUGAGAUUAAUAUAUCAUCAUAACCGAGAAAUUAUAUCGAACUAUGUUAUCUAUGUUCAAGCAUAUACUUUAUAGGAUAGGACUCAGCAAAUGUAAUGACAUGAUUUCAGCUUUCUCAAUAAAAAACUUAUGCUGUAUGCAUCUGAAUUAUGCACAGUAUCCGGAUCUCAAACCUCCAUCUUCACCUUCUCCGUCACAGCCGUAGAGGAUCUGCUUCGUUAUGUUGGUUUCAUGGGAUCACUCUUCUCAAAUGCAUGGUCGGAUGACAGAGCGUUCAGUAGGAAAAGAUGUUUGGAAGGCC